rnacentral:lncRNA from 10 species
UUUCGUUUACGUAUAUUUAUGAAGACAACUAUCAGUCAUAAGUCUUAAAUCUAGUAAUCUUCCCAUUCCCUUUCAAAGUGAAGUUGUUUCUGAUAAUUUUAGCUACCCAUAAUGUAUACCUGGCUAGGCAUGAUACACAAUACAAGUCACUCAAAGGGGAAAGUCAGGCAAGGCAUGGUGGCUCACGCCUGUAAUCCUAGCACUUUGGGAGGCCGAGGCAGGAGGAUCAUCUGAAGUCAGGAGUUUGAGACCAGCCUGGCCAACAUGGCGAAACCCCGUCUUUACUAAAAAUACAAAAAUUAGCUGGGUGUGGUGGUGGGUGCCUGUAAUCCCAGCUACUCGGGAGGCUGAGGCAGGAGAAUCACUUGGACCUGGGAGGUGGAGGUUGCAGUGAGCCAAGAUUGCGCCACUGCACUCCAGCCUGGGUGACAGAGCGAGACCCUGUCUCAAACAAAAACAAAAAACGGGCGGUUGGAAUCAUGCAGACAAAAACAAAGCUUAAAAGUAAAUAGUAACUACCUCGUGUUAACCCUACGCAGUCUAAUCAAUCAUCAUUUGAAAUAGCUGUCUGCCCUGGUACCAUGUUCCUUUCUCCCACAUUCCUCUCUUGCAUACAUUGCCCCAUGACCUUGGAUUAACCUAAAUCUAGUUCUUCCUGAGUAACUUCUGAAACUCUUUUUAAAAUCUCAAAGCUUCACUUACUUAGGACUUCCUGUCCUCAGUGGGAAUGCUAUUAGGCCACGCCAUUGCAAAUUGGCCUGAGGAUGACACUAAUGUUUAUUACUAAGGUGUACUAUGUAAACAUCCUCUUCCUAGCCUGGAUUUUCGCAUUUUAUAUUUUUACCAGAAGAAAGGAUGAUGAAUUUUCUAAAACUGAGGAACUACAACUGGAAGAUGUGGAUGAGGAAAUUAAUGCUGAAAAUCUGGAAAGCAAGAAGAAAAUUGUGGGAGAUGAAGAAAGUGUUCCUACAGGUUCCCACAGUAAAACAGAAGGAGCAGAAAGAACCAGUGAUGAUAGCUCAGCUGAAACCAUUGAAAAGAAAGAAAAAGCCAACCUGGAGGAACGGGCCAUUUGUGAAUACAAUGAAAACCCAAAAGCUGUAUUUGGAUACUGGUCAUCUAAACAUUUACAACUUUGUUGAGGUCAUUCUGGGCUUUUCACUUUACCUCAACUUUUCAGGAAAUAUGCAGUGUAGAUAUUGUCCACUACUCCAGGGGUGAGCUCUUUUCGUAUUACCCCACAACUCAGGGUUCACAGAGUUUCACUGAGAGCAUCAGGUCUUUUCUUUUCCCUAUUAGUUAAAACUAGUAUUUCUGAAUGAUCCAAUUGUAGGAUACAUGCUUGGUGAUGCAGAGAGCAGUUCAUUAGAAAUCCUAGAAAAUAGUGAAUCAACACCAAGCAACGACAUGAAAAAAACACAGAAGGUAAGUGAAAUGAAUUGUCUUUUUUAAUGCUAAGACCAAAGUAUUGAAUUGUUCCUUUUACUUUUCAUAUGGCGAUCCACAUAAUGUAACUAUCUUAGUAUGAAUUUUUAUGGCCCCAAAACCUGAAGAAUUUCAGGUGAUGUCACAUAUUUUUAAUAUACUACCUUUCCUUUGGUUAGCAUUUGAAUGAAGAUCUUCUUUUCAUCCUUUUACUUUAACUUAUGUUUUACAUGUGUCUCUUGUAAAUGGCCUAUACAGCUGGAUUUUGUCUUUGACAUUUUUAACAUGCAUACCUAAAAUCUAAAGUUCAUCAGUAUUCCUAUCUUUUUUCCCAAAUAAUGCCAGGACCUUAGAAGAAUUUUCUUGCCUAUCACCUCUUCUUUCUUAUUUUAGAAGUUAUGGUACCCAGUAUUUACAAUUUUUUAACAUCACAAAUCAUACGUUUUUAGUAAUUUUUAUACUACUUUUUUACUCAGCUGUUCUUUCUGGAAUUCUUCUUCUUCCUGAAGAAAUAUUUUGGAAGUUCCUAUCACAGGUGUCUGUUGACAGUUAAAACUUUUAGUUUCUGUUCACUUGAAAAUAUCUUUAUUUUACCAUAGUUCUUGAAUGAUAGUGUGACUGGUUGACAGUUACUUUCUCUUAGUAUCUGCUCCCAUUAUUGCUGUCUAGAAUUUCGCUUUAGUAUAAUUGCUGAUAACUUUGUAUAUAACCUGCCAUUCUCUAUGGCUGCUUUUUAGAUUGUCUUUGAUGUUUUCAGUUCACUAUGAGAUGCUUGACUAUGGAAUUUUUUUUUUUUUUUUUUUUUUGAGACGGAGUUUCACUCUUGCUGUCCAGGCUGGAGGUGCAAUGGCGCGAUCUUGGCUCACCACAACCUCUGCCUCCCGGGUUCAAGCGAUUCUCCUGCCUCAGCCUCCCAAGUAGCUGGGAUUACAGGCAUAUGCCACCACACCUGGCUAAUUUUGUACUUUUAGUAGAGACGGGGUUUCUCCAUGUUGGUCAGGCUGGUCUCGAACUCCUGACCUCAGGUGAUCUGCCUGCCUUGGCCUCCCAAAGCGCUGGAAUUACAGGCUUGAGCCACCAUGCCCAGCAGAUAUGGAUUUUUAAAUUUUAACUUACUUGGAAUUUAUUAUGACUCUUGAAUCUGAGAAUUCAUGUCAUUUGUCAUUUUUUUUAAAAUUCUCAUCCAUUAUAUAUUUGAAUAUUUUCUCUCCCCCCCCUUUCAAAUUCUGAUAUAAAACUUUUUAUUUUAUGGUACAUGUCUUUUAAUAUCACCUUCAUAUUUUCUAUGUGUAAGUGAUAUUCUGGGUAAUUUCAGGGCCUUCAUCAAUUCCAUAGUUUCUCUUCAGCUGAGACUACUUGGCUAUUUAACCUACCUAUUAAGUUUUAAUUUCAGUAACAACAUCUUUCACAUUUUAAGUCAAGUUGUAUUUUUGUUCUUUUUUAAAUCAAUCUGGUCUUUUAAAAUCAGUAUCUUGUUUUGUGUGUGUGUGUUUGUUUUUUUUUUAAUUCUAGUCCUUUAAGCACACUUAGUUUACAUUCUGUAUUUAGUAAUUCCAAUGUCAUUCUUAGGAGUCUAAACAUGUGUGUUGCUUUGGCUGACUUGCUAAUGGUGAUUUGUUUCCAUAUGUGUUUUGAAAUUUGUAUUGUGAGUUCAUGUUUCACUGGGACUUUUUUUGUGGAAAUCCUUUAAGGCCUCAGAGUAAAUCCAUCUCUAGAGAGUUUGCAUUAGCCUUUAUUAGCUCUGGAGUGACUGAGGGACCACUUUAAGUUCAUUUCUCAUUUAAGGGUUGACCACAAUGUUUGUAGGUAGACUUAUAUUAAGGGCAUAGUACUUAGAAGGUCCUCACAUUAUGUAGGGUUCCCCUCAUUUUGUGAGAUCAAAUUGUUUCAAAGUUAAAGGUCUAAGUUAUGAGUCAGCAGAUGCUAUUUCAGUUCUUAAUCACCUCUGGGGCUUCCUGUUCCUUCUUUCUUUUUUGGUCUACAAGAAUUUCCCUUAGUUUUUGGGGAGAUUGCCUGCACAUUAUAAAAUUUUAUUUUUCAUACUUAAUCAGCAUUUCUUGGUAUUUUAUAGUAGCAGACUUUUUGAAGUUGUAUAUUUCUUCACCUUUUGAAGUUGUGUAUUUCUUCACCAUAGCAGGAACAGGAGUUCUUCCAUUUUAAUCCAUAGAUCCUUUUUCUAGACUCUUACUUUUUGGAUUACCACUUUUUGCCCUAGUUUCUCCACUCUUUAAAGCUGGAGGUAAGCUAUUAUCAUUAGCACCAUUUUUAUUUCUGGAAGAGCCAAAUUUUCACCUGGUUUUUGUUUCCUGCUUUUUGUUUUGGCAUCUUGUCAAAACCAUUAUUUGUGUUACCACUCUUCAAGACUCCUAUUUUCUUCCUGGCUACAUUCUCAAAGGGCCUAAAUCAAAUGAAACUUUUGUCACCUUCAUCUCUUCUGCAUGUGGCCCUGUUGGCCACUCCCUUCUUGAUGUAUUUUUCUCUCCGGACUUCAGAGCUGCCUAGUUUUCCCGAUUUUGUACUUACAAACCUUGGUCCUCAGUUCUAGCUCCUCUUCUGCCUGCCUCUCACUCUGCUCUUUUUGUCUCUUUUCUUAUAUUCUGUUUUCUACCUGCCUGGAAUCUCUGGGUUAUCAGGGCUACUUUCAUCUCUUGCUUAUAUUCUACAUAUCUGUAGCCCCAGCC